rnacentral:misc_RNA from 1 species
GAAAUGCGAUAAGUAGUGUGAAUUGCAGAAUUCAGUGAAUCAUCGAAUCUUUGAACGCACAUUGCGCCCCUUGGUAUUCCAUGGGGCAUGCCUGUUCGAGCGUCAGUUGUACCCUCAAGCUCUGCUUGGUGUUGGGUGUUUGUCCCGUCUCCGCGCGUGGACUCGCCCCAAAGUGAUUGGCAGCCGGCGUACUGGUCCCGGAGCGCAGCACAUGUCGCGCAAACGAGUGCCUUGGUACGGCGGCGUCCAUAAGCCCCUCUCUCACGCUCUUGACCUCGGAUCAGGUAGGGAUACCCGCUGAACUUAAGC